UACGGGGGGGGCAAGCGUUGUUCGGAAUCACUGGGCGUAAAGCGCACGUAGGCGGAUGUGUCAGUCAUGGGUGAAAUCCCGGGGCUCAACCUCGGAACUGCCUUUGAUACUGCGGGUCUUGAGUCCGAUAGAGGUGGGUGGAAUUCCUAGUGUAGAGGUGAAAUUCGUAGAUAUUAGGAAGAACACCGGUGGCGAAGGCGGCCCACUGGAUCGGUACUGACGCUGAGGUGCGAAAGCGUGGGGAGCAAACAGG
rnacentral:rRNA from 1 species